GCUUGGCCAGUGAGCCAGGACCCCAGCCUGGGGUAGAACACCCGUGCAAACCUGCCUGACUCACCGCUGAGAUCCACCGCAUCCCCAGGGGGACACUGCUACCUCUGCCCACUGGGUUCAUCUCUGCUCUAGUCCCCACUGAACCUUUGAAUCCUAUCUCACCACUUGUUCCUUCUCUCAUCUUUCUCCUCCCUCUGAGGAAGUUGUGAUACCAGCAUGCCGUGUUUCAAAGCCCACCGAAGCUCCCUGCGAUGGUCUACACCUGACUUAAGAGAUCCAUGAGAACAGGACCCCAGACCUUCAACACUGGAGCUGUGCUGGAGAGCUGGUGGCCCAGCUGCCUGAGAACCUCUGCCCAAGUUCUCUGAAGACAGAGGCUGUCAUUAUGUGAGCGCCAAUAAGCCAGGCCGAAUCGUGGACACAAUAUAUCACUGUUCAGCGCUGCCAGAAUUGGAGCAUAAAGACCACUUAACUCGAAGCAAAAUCUGGGAGCCCACAAAUUAGUCACCACAGAGAUGCCAAGACCAUGUUAGGCUAUUCACUGCACUCAACAGUAUUACACAUCUGAAUGGGUUUAAGGCUCCUUGGAGGGGUGCGUGGGGGAAUUCGAUCGCUGCUUCUGUUGCAGGCGCUGGUGGCCACUAACUCUCCUCUCCUGCUGUGGCAUAGUACAUGGCAGUCCCAGUGCCUCCAAAUGCCUUUCUAGCCCUGUUGCUACGUUGACCUCCACCUACCAGCUCCCAGUGACACGUCUGCAUUUAGGUCUGCAUUUUGCCACAUCUCUGGUGUCCCCGUCUCAAGGAUAAUGGAGAAUGUGAAGUGUACAGUUCAAUGGGAAGCUAUUUCACCAUAUCAUCUGCUCAGGCAGAGAGUCAAGGUUGUAGGGGCGUGGACUACGUGUUAAUGUUACUACAGUGUGGACUAUGGGAAGAACACAAGGAUGUGUGUGAGAGCAAUUUCAUUAAAAGUCCAUUAUGGCUUGGCUGUGUGGUGAGCCAUGCAAGCUAAUGACCAGGUAUUGUCAAAUACUCAAAGGCUCUUGGCUCACCUCCCUGAAUAAUAAACUGACUUGCUUCCUGGGGGAUGUAUGUUUUUAAGUACACUUAGGAAGGCAGUGUCAGAGUUUUAAUCAUGUAUAUAUCAUUUUGUUGUCAUUCUUCAGUAUCAUCUAAAUUAUUUAAUAGACAAAUAAAAUACACACAUGCACACAA